CCUACGGGAGGCAGCAGUGAGGAAUAUUGGUCAAUGGACGCGAGUCUGAACCAGCCAAGCCGCGUGCAGGAUGACGGCUCUAUGAGUUGUAAACUUCUUUUGUAUGGGAAUAAAGUGAGGAACGUGUACCUGUUUGUAAGUACCAUAUGAAUAAGCAUCGGCUAACUCCGUGCCAGCAGCCGCGGUAAUACGGAGGAUCCGAGCGUUAUCCGGAUUUAUUGGGUUUAAAGGGUGCGUAGGUGGUUAAUUAAGUCAGCGGUGAAAUGUUGGGGCUCAACCCUGAAAAUGCCGUUGAAACUGGUUGACUUGAGAAUAGUUGAGGUAGGCGGAAUGCGUGGUGUAGCGGUGAAAUGCAUAGAUAUCAUGCAGAACACCGAUUGCGAAGGCAGCUUACUAAACUAUAACUGACACUGAAGCACGAAAGCGUGGGUAGCAAACAGGAUUAGAUACCCGAGUAGUC
rnacentral:rRNA from 1 species